rnacentral:rRNA from 1 species
AAAAUGACUCUCGGCAAUGGAUAUCUCGGCUCUUGCAUCGAUGAAGAACGUAGUGAAAUGCGAUACUUGGUGUGAAUUGCAGAAUCUCGCGAACCAUUGAGUCUUUGAACGCAAGUUGUGCCCGAGGUCUUAUGGCCGAGGGCACGUCUGCUUGGGCGUCAUGGC